UAUAUUCUGUGUGGCUGACUGCUGCAACUUUAGUUCAUCUGUCUUAAAAUGAAAAGGGGCACAAUAAUAUUUUUUUCUUUACUGAGACAGGUUCUCACUGUUGCCUGAACCACGAGUGCAGUGGCACAAUCACCACUCACUGCAGCCUUGACUUCCGGGUUCAAGCCAUCCUCUCACCUCAGCUUCCUGAGUAGUUGGGACUACAGUUGCAUGCCACCAUGCCUGGCUAAUUUUUGUGGUUUUGUUUUUGUUUUGUUUUUGAGAUGGAGUCUUGCUCUGUUGCCCAGGCUGAGGCAGGAGAAUCGCUUGAGCCUGGGAGGCGGAGGUUGUGGUGGGCCAGGAUCACGCUACUUUACUCCAGUCUGGGCGAUGGAAUGAGACACAGUCUCAAAAAAAAAAA
rnacentral:lncRNA from 1 species